rnacentral:rRNA from 1 species
CUAUCGUUAGUUGCCAUCAGGUUAUGCUGGGCACUCUAACGAGACUGCCGGCGUCAAGCGGAGGAAGGUGGGGACGACGUCAAGUCCUCAUGGCCCUUAUGUCCAGGGCUACACACGUGCUACAAUGGACGGUACAGAUCGUUGCAAGCUAGCAAUAGUAAGCCAAUCGCAAAAAGCCGUCCUCAGUACAGAUUGCACUCUGCAACUCGAGUGCAUGAAGUCGGAAUCGCUAGUAAUCGCUGAUCAGCAGGCAGCGGUGAAUACGUUCCCGGGCCUU